rnacentral:rRNA from 1 species
ACUCCUACGGGAGGCAGCAGUGGGGAAUAUUGCACAAUGGGCGCAAGCCUGAUGCAGCGACGCCGCGUGAGGGAUGACGGCCUUCGGGUUGUAAACCUCUGUUAGCAUCGAAGAAGCGAAAGUGACGGUAGGUGCAGAGAAAGCGCCGGCUAACUACGUGCCAGCAGCCGCGGUAAUACGUAGGGCGCGAGCGUUGUCCGGAAUUAUUGGGCGUAAAGAGCUUGUAGGCGGUUGGUCGCGUCUGCUGUGAAAGGCUGGGCUUAACCCUGGUUUUGCAGUGGGUACGGGCUAACUAGAGUGCAGUAGGGGAGACUGGAAUUCCUGGUGUAGCGGUGGAAUGCGCAGAUAUCAGGAGGAACACCGAUGGCGAAGGCAGGUCUCUGGGCUGUAACUGACGCUGAGAAGCGAAAGCAUGGGGGAGCGAACAGGAUUAGAUACCCUGUAGACUGUC